AAAUCGGUGUUAUUAAACACCACCUUUUUGGAAUUGGGGCAAAGUAU
rfam:Helicosporidium sp. ATCC 50920 contig-3524, whole genome shotgun sequence.